rnacentral:lncRNA from 1 species
GUCACCUCACUGCAGUAGGAGGGGCUCAGCAUUUGCUGGUCGUAGGGAGGGGGGGAACGGAAAUAGUGAUCCUCCCCCACCGAAGAGGGGGCUUCCAGAUAGGAUCGCUUGCAAGGUAAGUCCAGGUGGCGGGUACCGUCUGCUGAAAGACAAAGUAACAUUCAGGAAGAACCAUUUCCACCAGCCCAGGCCCCAGAGCACCCUGUUGGAUGCUGGGACAGCCUGUCCUUGUCCCUCUGCGCCCGCCCUCCCCAUGUUGCCAUGGCACUCCCAGAGCCAUUUCAAUCAGCCACGGCUUUUAUAGGGUUGCAGGCACCAAGAAGUGGUCAGAUUACGGACCCUACUCAGAGGCCACGGGGGACACCACAUCACCGGACACUGAGGGCCAGGCUUAGCCAGGCAGCACUCGGCUUUGAUCCUUCGCCAGCCUGACUCUUGCAGAGUGAGAGGCCCUGAUGUGCAGUGGCAUUCUCA